rnacentral:rRNA from 1 species
CAGUAGCCGCGGUAAUACGAAGGGUGCAAGCGUUACUCGGAAUUACUGGGCGUAAAGCGUGCGAAGGUGGUGGUUUUAGUCCGUUGUGAAAGCCCUGGGCUCAACCUGGGAAUUGCAGUGGAUACUGGGUCACUAGAGUGUGGUAGAGGAUAGUGGAAUUUCCGGUGUAGCAGUGAAAUGCGUAGAGAUCGGAAGGAACAUCUGUGGCGAAGGCGACUAUCUGGGCCAACACUGACACUGAGGCACGAAAGCGUGGGGAGCAAACAGGAUUAGAUACCCCUGUAGUCCCUGUCUCUUAUAC